AUGGCCAGCAAGUCGGCGACCCUGCUGAUCCUCGCGGCGCUGGUGGCAGCGGCGUGCCUCGCCGGGCUGGGCUCGGCGGCGCGCAGCGUGCCGGCGGAGAAGCCCACGGAGGACGCGGAAGCUGCCGGACUCCAGCAGGGGACGGUGCUGAUCCCGGGGAUCGGGCGGUACGAGCUAGGCACCCACUACAUCCCGGACAUCGGCGGGCUGGACCACAGCAUCCCGGCCGCCGCCAGCGGGCAGUUCAUCCCCGGCGCCGACGACACCUGGGUGCCCAACCCCGGCUUCGAGGUGCCCAACCCCUUCCGCCCCCGCUCCGAGUCCCCCUGA
rnacentral:rRNA from 1 species